CAGCCGCGGUAAUACGGAGGGUGCGAGCGUUAAUCGGAAUUACUGGGCGUAAAGAGUGCGUAGGUGGUUAGAUAAGUUAUCUGUGAAAUCCCUGGGCUUAACCUGGGCAGGUCAGAUGAUACUGUUUGACUCGAGUAUGGGAGAGGGUAGUGGAAUUUCCGGUGUAGCGGUGAAAUGCGUAGAGAUCGGAAGGAACACCAGUGGCGAAGGCGGCUACCUGGCCUAAUACUGACACUGAGGCACGAAAGCGUGGGGAGCAAACAGGAUUAGAUACCCUGGUAGUCCACGCUGUAAACGAUGUCAACUAGCUGUUGGA
rnacentral:rRNA from 1 species